rnacentral:rRNA from 1 species
GUGGGGAAUUUUGGACAAUGGGCGCAAGCCUGAUCCAGCAAUGCCGCGUGCAGGAAGAAGGCCUUCGGGUUGUAAACUGCUUUUGUACGGAACGAAACGGUCCUGGCUAAUAUCCGGGGCUAAUGACGGUACCGUAAGAAUAAGCACCGGCUAACUACGUGCCAGCAGCCGCGGUAAUACGUAGGGUGCGAGCGUUAAUCGGAAUUACUGGGCGUAAAGCGUGCGCAGGCGGUGCUGUAAGACAGGCGUGAAAUCCCCGGGCUCAACCUGGGAAUUGCGCUUGUGACUGCAGUGCUGGAGUACGGCAGAGGGGGAUGGAAUUCCGCGUGUAGCAGUGAAAUGCGUAGAUAUGCGGAGGAACACCGAUGGCGAAGGCAGUCCCCUGGGCCUGUACUGACGCUCAUGCACGAAAGCGUGGGGAGCAAACAGGAUUAGAAACCCUUGUAGUCC